rnacentral:rRNA from 2 species
UUAACGACUCUCGGCAACGGAUAUCUCGGCUCUCGCAUCGAUGAAGAACGUAGCGAAAUGCGAUACUUGGUGUGAAUUGCAGAAUCCCGUGAACCAUCGAGUCUUUGAACGCAAGUUGCGCCCUAGGCCAUCGGGUUGAGGGCACGCCUGCCUGGGCGUCACAC